UACGGAGGGGGCUAGCGUUGUUCGGAAUUACUGGGCGUAAAGCGCACGUAGGCGGCUUUGUAAGUUAGAGGUGAAAGCCCAGAGCUCAACUCUGGAAUUGCCUUUAAGACUGCAUCGCUUGAAUCAUGGAGAGGUGAGUGGAAUUCCGAGUGUAGAGGUGAAAUUCGUAGAUAUUCGGAAGAACACCAGUGGCGAAGGCGACUCACUGGACAUGUAUUGACGCUGAGGUGCGAAA
rnacentral:rRNA from 1 species